CAGUUUGGGCUAUUAUUGUGAUCCAAAUUCUGGCCUUUAUUGCUCUGCAGAACGGGUCCAAAAACUUUGUUGUACUUGUAACGAUGGUGCAAGUAAUGGUGGCAACACAUCAUCUUAUGCAAUCUAGAAUGCAUCUAUAAGAAGGAACAAACAUAUCAGGAAAUCACCUGACCUUUUUGGCUGUGGCGGUAACAAUUCUGAUGUUAUCAUGGAGGAAAAUGGUUCUGAAAUUAUUACAACCAAUUCUGAUGCCUAUAACUUACACGAGGGAAGUAGAUUCUAAUUUAGAACUUGAGCAAGGAUUAAGAAGGGAUUUGGAGAGGAAGGAGUAUUCUAUUUUUUAGCAGUCACUUGCUGGAUUUGGAAAUCAAGCUUAAGGAUUUUAAGGUGCAUAGGAUGGAAAACAUGGAGGACCACUGGCCCUAUAAGACGUGCUAAAGGUGGUUGGACUGCAGAGGUUUAUUUAUCAAUUCUGCUACCGGAGGUUUUCUGUUUCUGCACUGAAUUGACGCAUCUGAUCUGGUUCGCUUUUGCUACUGAUAUACCUUUGCUUUCAUUGUGUGAGUGAGUGGAAGAUGUCUGAUGCUUGCUGCUGCUGAUAUAUGAUUGCUUGGUGUGUUGUGCUUCCUAGUCCAUUGUGGUUCA